CGAGCAACGCUGCGGCAGGCUCCACAUGUAGUCGAACGGAUCCUUCGGGAUUAGUGGCGGACGGGUGAGUACACGUGGGAACGUGCCCUUUGGUUCGGAACAACUCAGUGUAAACUUGAGCUAAUACCGGAUGUGCCCUUCGGGGGAAAGAUUUAUCGCCAUUGGAGCGGCCCGCGUCUGAUUAGCUAGUUGGUGGGGUAAAGGCCCACCAAGGCGACGAUCAGUAGCUGGUCUGAGAGGAUGAUCAGCCACAUUGGGACUGAGACACGGUCCAAACUCCUACGGGAGGCAGCAGUGGGGAAUCUUGCGCAAUGGGCGAAAGCCUGACGCAGCCAUGCCGCGUGAAUGAUGAAGGUCUUAGGAUUGUAAAAUUCUUUCACCGGGGGCGAUAAUGACGGUACCCGGAGAAGAAGCCCGGCUAACUUCGUGCCAGCAGCCGCGGU
rnacentral:rRNA from 1 species